UGGGGAAUAUUGCACAAUGGGCGAAAGCCUGAUGCAGCGACGCCGCGUGAGCGAAGAAGGCCUUCGGGUCGUAAAGCUCUGUCCUAUGGGACGAUAAUGACGGUACCAUAGGAGGAAGCCCCGGCUAACUACGUGCCAGCAGCCGCGGUAAUACGUAGGGGGCGAGCGUUGUCCGGAAUGACUGGGCGUAAAGGGUACGUAGGCGGCCAGGUAAGUCAGGUGUGAAAGUCUAGGGCUCAACCCUAGUGAGCACUUGAAACUGCUUGGCUUGGGUCGAGGAGAGGAAGGUGGAAUUCCUGGUGUAGCGGUGAAAUGCGUAGAUAUCAGGAGGAAUACCAGUGGCGAAGGCGACCUUCUGGCCUUGGACUGACGCUGAGGUACGAAAGCGUGGGGAGCAAACAGG
rnacentral:rRNA from 1 species